rnacentral:rRNA from 1 species
AUUGAACGCUGGCGGCAUGCCUUACACAUGCAAGUCGAACGGAAACAGGGCUCUUGCUGCUGGCUUCAGGGGCGAGGGUGUGAGUAGUGCCUGGACAUGUGCCUGGGAGUGGGGGAUAGCGUCCGGAGACGGGCGAUAAUACCACAUACGUUGUGAGUGAGAGCGUGGGAGAUCUUAGGAAUUCAUGCUCUCGGGUGAGUCGAGGUCGGAUUAGCUAGUUGGUGGGGUAAAGGCCUACCAAGCCGACGAUCCGUAGCUGGUCUGAGAGGAUGACCAGCCACACUGGGACUGAGACACGGCCCAGACUCCUACGGGAGGCAGCAGUGGGGAAUUUUGGACAAUGGGCGCAAGCCUGAUCCAGCAAUGCCGCGUGCGGGAAGAAGGCCUUCGGGUUGUAAACCGCUUUUGUACGGAACGAAAAGGAUCUGGCUAAUACCUGGGGCUGAUGACGGUACCGUAAGAAUAAGCACCGGCUAACUACGUG